UACGUAGGGUGCAAGCGUUGUCCGGAAUUAUUGGGCGUAAAGAGCUCGUAGGCGGUUUGUUGCGUCGGCUGUGAAAUCCCGAGGCUCAACCUCGGGUCUGCAGUCGAUACGAGCAAACUAGAGUGUUGCAGGGGAGACUGGAAUUCCUGGUGUAGCGGUGGAAUGCGCAGAUAUCAGGAGGAACACCGGUGGCGAAGGCGGGUCUCUGGGCCGUUACUGACGCUGAGGAGCGAAAGCGUGGGGAGCGAACAGG
rnacentral:rRNA from 1 species